UACGAAGGGGGCUAGCGUUGUUCGGAAUUACUGGGCGUAAAGGGCGCGUAGGCGGUCCUUCAAGUCAGGCGUGAAAGCCCCGGGCUCAACCUGGGAACCGCGCUUGAGACUGGCGGGCUAGAGUUCGGGAGAGGAUGGUGGAAUUCCCAGUGUAGAGGUGAAAUUCGUAGAUAUCGGGAGGAACACCGGUGGCGAAGGCGGUUCUCUGGGCCUGUACUGACGCUGAGGAGCGAAAGCGUGGGGAGCAAACAGG
rnacentral:rRNA from 1 species